rnacentral:rRNA from 1 species
GACGAACGCUGGCGGCGUGCUUAACACAUGCAAGUCGAACGGAAAGGCCCUGCUUAUUUGGGGUGCUCGAAUGGCGAACGGGUGAGUAACACGUGAGUAACCUGCCCUUGACUUUGGGAUAACUUCAGGAAACUGGGGCUAAUACCGGAUAGGAGCUCCUGCUGCAUGGUGGGGGUUGGAAAGUUUCGGCGGUUGGGGAUGUACUCGCGGCUUAUCAGCUUGUUGGUGGGGUAGUGGCUUACCAAGGCUUUGACGGGUAGCCGGCCUGAGAGGGUGACCGGCCACAUUGGGACUGAGAUACGGCCCAGACUCCUACGGGAGGCAGCAGUGGGGAAUAUUGCACAAUGGGCGGAAGCCUGAUGCAGCAACGCCGCGUGCGGGAUGACGGCCUUCGGGUUGUAAACCGCUUUCGCCUGUGACGAAGCGUGAGUGACGGUAAUGGGUAAAGAAGCACCGGCUAACUACGUG